rnacentral:rRNA from 1 species
CGGGACACGUGGUAUCCUGUCUGAAUAUGGGGGGACCAUCCUCCAAGGCUAAAUACUCCUGACUGACCGAUAGUGAACCAGUACCGUGAGGGAAAGGCGAAAAGAACCCCGGCGAGGGGAGUGAAAAAGAACCUGAAACCGUGUACGUACAAGCAGUGGGAGCACGCUUCGGCGUGUGACUGCGUACCUUUUGUAUAAUGGGUCAGCGACUUAUAUUCUGUAGCAAGGUUAACCGAAUAGGGGAGCCGAAGGGAAACCGAGUCUUAACUGGGCGUUAAGUUGCAGGGUAUAGACCCGAAACCCGGUGAUCUAGCCAUGGGCAGGUUGAAGGUUGGGUAACACUAACUGGAGGACCGAACCGACUAAUGUUGAAAAAUUAGCGGAUGACUUGUGGCUGGGGGUGAAAGGCCAAUCAAACCGGGAGAUAGCUGGUUCUCCCCGAAAGCUAUUUAGGUAGCGCCUCGUGAAUUCAUCUCCGGGGGUAGAGCACUGUUUCGGCAAGGGGGUCAUCCCGACUUACCAACCCGAUGCAAACUGCGAAUACCGGAGAAUGUUAUCACGGGAGACACACGGCGGGUGCUAACGUCCGUCGUGAAGAGGGAAACAACCCAGACCGCCAGCUAAGGUCCCAAAGUCAUGGUUAAGUGGGAAACGAUGUGGGAAGGCCCAGACAGCCAGGAUGUUGGCUUAGAAGCAGCCAUCAUUUAAAGAAAGCGUAAUAGCUCACUGGUCGAGUCGGCCUGCGCGGAAGAUGUAACGGGGCUAAACCAUGCACCGAAGCUGCGGCAGCGACACUAUGUGUUGUUGGGUAGGGGAGCGUUCUGUAAGCCUGUGAAGGUGUACUGUGAGGUAUGCUGGAGGUAUCAGAAGUGCGAAUGCUGACAUAAGUAACGAUAAAGCGGGUGAAAAGCCCGCUCGCCGGAAGACCAAGGGUUCCUGUCCAACGUUAAUCGGGGCAGGGUGAGUCGACCCCUAAGGCGAGGCCGAAAGGCGUAGUCGAUGGGAAACAGGUUAAUAUUCCUGUACUUGGUGUUACUGCGAAGGGGGGACGGAGAAGGCUAUGUUGGCCGGGCGACGGUUGUCCCGGUUUAAGCGUGUAGGCUGGUUUUCCAGGCAAAUCCGGAAAAUCAAGGCUGAGGCGUGAUGACGAGGCACUACGGUGCUGAAGCAACAAAUGCCCUGCUUCCAGGAAAAGCCUCUAAGCAUCAGGUAACAUCAAAUCGUACCCCAAACCGACACAGGUGGUCAGGUAGAGAAUACCAAGGCGCUUGAGAGAACUCGGGUGAAGGAACUAGGCAAAAUGGUGCCGUAACUUCGGGAGAAGGCACGC